UACGGAGGGGGCUAGCGUUGUUCGGAAUUACUGGGCGUAAAGCGCACGUAGGCGGCUUGGUAAGUUAGAGGGGAAAGCCUGGAGCUCAACUCCAGAAUUGCCUUUAAGACUGCCGAGCUAGCAGGUGAGAGAGGUGAGUGGAAUUCCGAGUGUAGAGGUGAAAUUCGUAGAUAUUCGGAAGAACACCAGUGGCGAAGGCGGCUCACUGGCUCAUACUGGACGCUGAGGUGCGAAAGCGUGGGGAGCAAACAGG
rnacentral:rRNA from 1 species